rnacentral:rRNA from 1 species
CAUGCAAGUCGAACGGGAUUUAGUAGACAGAAACCUCGGUGGAAGAUUACUAAUGAGAGUGGCGAACGGGUGAGUAACGCGUGAGCAACCUGCCUAUGACAGUGGGAUAGCCUCGGGAAACCGGGAUUAAUACCGCAUAAAAUCGUAGAAACACAUGUUUCAACGGUCAAAGAUUUAUCGGUCAUAGAUGGGCUCGCGUCUGAUUAGCUAGUUGGUGAGAUAACAGCCCACCAAGGCGACGAUCAGUAGCCGGUCUGAGAGGAUGAACGGCCACAUUGGAACUGAGACACGGUCCAAACUCCUACGGGAGGCAGCAGUGGGGAAUAUUGCACAAUGGGGGAAACCCUGAUGCAGCGACGCCGCGUGAACGAAGAAGGUAUUCGUAUCGUAAAGUUCUGUCCUAUGGGAAGAUAAUGACAGUACCAUAGAAGAAAGCUCCGGCUAAAUACGUGCCAGCAGCCGCGGUAAUACGUAUGGAGCGAGCGUUGUCUGGAAUUAUUGGGCGUAAAGGGUACGCAGGCGGUUUAAUAAGUCGAAUGUUAAAGAUCGGGGCUCAACCCCGUAAAGCAUUGGAAACUGAUAAACUUGAGUAGUGGAGAGGAAAGUGGAAUUCCUAGUGUAGUGGCGAAAUACGUAGAUAUUAGGAGGAAUACCAGUAGCGAAGGCGACUUUCUGGACACAAACUGACGCUGAGGUACGAAAGCGUGGGGGAGCAAACA